CUGGGAACGUUAAAGGGAAACCUGGCCGAGUCUCGGUGUUGGAGGAAUCUUGCGAUUUGUACCACGGUAUAUGCAAACUCCGCGCUCCCUCGCCCACGGUAUUAUUUUGGGAUUUGACUAAUCCCGUGAGAGGGCAUGGACCAGCGCGUGUGAUGAUCAGCGUCUCGUUUUUCGCCCCGUUCGAUUCACCGGCACGGCCAAGUGUCAAGCUCGUCUUCGCUCGAUAAACGAUGCCGUCCCAAAUAAACUUGUGGGCUUGGCCAUUUUCACUUGUGCUGCGAUAAGCAUCCGAUAUGGUUGAAUGGAAAAAAAUGUUGGAAGAAUCUUCCUUUCCUUCGAUCGGACGCAGGUGUUUCAGGAUUGCCAGCUAUUAUCUUCUCGGUUUGACUCAUCGCUACCUGAGAUAACGCCGAUCAUAGGUCACAGAUAACAUGGAUGCUCGCACCAUAGAAGCAAUUCUAGGAAUUAGUGGGGAUAACUGGCCGACAGUUAGCGAAAUGCUAUUGUAACAAGUCACUGCAAGCCGCACAUGUGUAUCACCGUUUCAUUGGACCUUUGAUGAAGUCAACUACUAAUAGUGCUCGAACAAAUAGCAGAUCUAUAAUACAAGAUUAAUAAGAAUCUAAUCUUUGGUACUAAGAAAAUUAUAAAAAAAAAAGAAAGGUUAUCACUGCAAAAAAAUUGCGAUUGCAGAGAAAGAAUCUAAUCUUUGGUACUAAGAAAAUUAUAAAAAAAAAAGAAAGGUUAUCACUGCAAAAAAAUUGCGAUUGCAGUAGGUAAUUGCAAUAAUUAUAGAGAUAAGUAUUUCAGAUAAAUAUAAUUAAAUAUAUAUUUAAGCAAAAAUUUUUGUUCCUAAAAAUAAAAUAAAAAUAAAAUAAAAUUUGUUGUGCAAUCUUUUAUUAUAUUUUUAAUACAUUUCUAAAAUUGCAAAAUAUGGAUAAAAAUUUUUGCUUUCAUGAAUUGUUUAAAAAAUUCUCAUGUCACUUCUUAUCCAUUUAUACUAUUCCGAUACAAAUUCAAAAAAUUGGAAAAAUACAGCAAAUAUAGAAUACAAUACAGAAAAAAAUAUUGGAGAGAUGGAAGUAAAAUGGAGAAAAUAAUAAAAUUAAAAAUUAUUUUACAAUAUAAUGGAUAAUCUGCAAUCGAGGAUCAUGUAAGAAGAGAAAAAAUACGAAACAGAAGAAAUAUCAGUGAUUGUGUAAGUGUAGUGAUUGUAUAUGUAUAUCAUAGAUAUUUUAACCAUAGACGAGGUAUAGAACAUACAUGGAACUCCUAUGGAAAGAAGGACCUCCUAUCAAUCCUGUUACAUCAUAUCUUUCAUGUAUUUUUUACAAUUUAUAUAUUAUAUUUGAUUAUUUCUUAAAUUAUUAAAGUAUUAACUUUUUAAUUUAUAUGAGCACAAAAAUAACAGUAAAAAGAAAUUUCAAGAAUGGACGUUAUGAACUGGCUUCCAUGAACUGGCAAAAUUUGUGAAAAAAUUUCUAGAGCGAACUCCUAUUAAUUUAUAUUCUCCUAAUACAAAGUCGAAAAAUUGGCAAAAUUUUUCGUUCAAUCAAAAGUUUCGAUUCAUUUUAACUCAUAACCAAGAAAAGAAAAUAUAAAUAUAAAUGUACAUAAUCAAAAAUGUAAAUGUAAAAAUAAAAACGUAAAUAAACACAUUAUUUUUUGCAAAUAAACCGAA